UGCAGGUUCAAGCCCAACCUGGGCAACACGAUAUCUUAGCAAGACUCUGUAAAAACAAAAAAGUACUGGGGAUGUAGAGGAGUAUAAUGAUCCUGGGUUCAACUUCCAGUACUUGGUAAAGAAAGGAAGGAAAAAUAGAAAAAGAGAAUCCUGCCAUUUGUGACAUGAGUAGAAUUCCAGAACACUAUUCAAUUGAAAUAAGCCAAAGAUAUAAAGAUAAACUCAAAGAAGGAGAAAGUAAAAUGGAGGCUACCAGAAGAUUGUGUCUCCAGUGUUUCCUAACAGAGGGCUUUGGAUAUGAAAGAAACCUAUUGCAGAAGGUUGAUAUAUGAAGGUUCACACACAGCGGGACACUCAUUUGAACUCACACAUUAAUAGUAUCUCAUCCACCAACAAGAAACAUAAGAGAACUGCUGAGAUGGCUGCCAUUAAUCUUAAGCAAG
rnacentral:lncRNA from 1 species